GUCUCUCCCUCCCUCAGCUUCACUCGCUCUUGUGCUGUAAGUUCAUUUGCUGUGUCAAGCAACAACUGGCUCGGGAGUGGGCAUUGGGUUUUGAUCCUUUUGUCAAGCGUCCCCUCUGCGAUGUGUACCGCAUCCACUUGCACACCACGGGACUGGUCGCCUGGCUCUCUCUAACAUCGCCGUACCGUCCUGGGUUUAUCACGAUUGGGCAUCCCAUCUUGCUGAAACGGGCGGCAUGAUGAGAUGCUGAAGGUUUGAUGGGGUGAACCCGCUACUGUGGACUAUCAUCACCAUCAUCAUCAUCAGAAUCAUCGCAGUGGCAAUGGGAGUCAGGACAUGGACGCUCGCUGGAGGACCUCCGCGGGGUCCUUGCAUCCCAGGAUGGAUAAAAACAUGGAGGGGAUGCUGCCCUGGUGGGACAGGAAGUAGAGAUGCAGAGGGGAGCAACUUCACCUGCUGAUCACCUUCAGUCUGACCACUGGAACUGGCUUCUGAUUGGACGUGUCUGAUAGCCCAUCCAAUUGAUGGGAAUGGGAGAGAGAGAGAGAAAGGAAGAGGAACCUGAUGACAGUUCCCUGCAGAGAUGAAACUCCUCAGAAGCGCUCAGAGAGAAGAUGACACUUCAUACCACAUCAUUUGAUAGGAUUCAGAGAGGGUUAUGGAUCCUGUCACACAACCAAAUGAAGUCGAGGGGAAAACCGAGUCCCUAGGCUCUUCUCUGCUCCAACACCAGCCUGUAAAUAUCAUGCAUUAUUGAUGGGAUAAAAUGUUCAGCCUUGUUAGUUUUAAAGCUGACAAUAUGCCAGGCAAAUUAAAUAUGUGAUUUUUGAUGCCAUGUACAGCGAAAACAUCUUCUAGAUCAAAAUGUAUGCCAUAAUGAAUAUAACAAAAAUCACAAAUGAGAUUUCAUUAAUAUCUCAGUUGAUCUCCUAGAAAUCAAUGCCAUUAAAAAGAGAGCAAAUGGAGAUUUUUUUUGUGAAAUAUCCAUCUUUUCAGAUUUUUUCCCUCAGAAAAAGGCUCUAGUAUCAUGUCGCCUCUUGAGCUUCAACUCAGCAAUUAUACAAAAAUCUGUAAUCUACACUACAGAAUAUUUUAAUAAUAUGAACAACAUUUUUCCU